GGAGAAGUAGCUCAACUUGGUAGAGCACUACAUUUGAAAUGUAGUGGUCGCAGGUUCAAAUCCUGUCUUCUUCACCA
rnacentral:tRNA from 1 species